rnacentral:rRNA from 1 species
AAAAAAUUAAAAUAAAUUACUAAAAUAGUAUAUAAUUAUUUAUUGAAACUUAAAUAAUUUGGCGGUAUUUUAGUUCAUUUAGAGGAAUCUGUCUAGUAAUUGAUAAUCCACGAAUAAUCAUAUUUAAUUUAUAAUUUUAUAUAUCGUUGUUAAAAAAAUAUUUUUAAAUAAAAAUAAUAUUUUAAAAUUUUAAUAAUAAAAUUAAUUCAGAUCAAGAUGUAGAUAAUAAUUAAAAUAUAAGAUGAAUUACAAUAUAAAUAUAUAAAUGGAUAUUAAUUUUGAAAUAGUUAGUUAAAAGUGGAUUUAAAUGUAAUUUUAAAUAAUUUUUUAAAAUGAUUAAUAAUUGAAAUAUGUACAUAUUGCCCGUCACUUUCAUUUUAAAAUUGAAAAAAGUCGUAACAAAGUAGGGGUACUGGAAAGUGUUCCUAGAAAGA